UAAUUUAUGGUAAUUUAUUAAAAAUGAAACCAGGAGUCAACCAAAUUGACCAGAUAUCUCAUUUUACAACUAUCUGGGUCUGGAUGCUGCAUUUUACAGAACAAUUUUGUAACUAUGGUAUUUUAACAUACCUUUAUUAUGGUUUGAGAGCAUUGCAAGUAAAUUCUGAUUUAUCAAUGUUAUGUGUGCAUAGUUACAUUUUUCUUGGAUUAGUAGCACAAUGUACAUUUAGGUUCCUUCCUUACAGACCACAUUAUAUAUUCAGAGCUGUAUUGGUUAUAUAUAUUUUUGGAUUAAUAUCUACAAUUCUGUUAAUAACGCAAUUCAUAUACAACUCAAGCGGUUCACCUGUACAUUAUAUUAUUUGGCCGUCAUUUAUGCAUGCUAUCACUUCUGGAGGGGCUGUUGAACUUAUAAGAGUCAUAGUUAAAUUCAAUUACCAUAAGGAACAAGAAAAUAGAAAAGUUGCUUUUAUGUUUCGCAUGACAGAGUAUUUAGGACAAUUAUAUGCCGUAAUACAAGUCAGUUGGUUUGAUGAUAAGCGAAAAACAGCAAACUUUGAUAGGUUAAGCUUACAUUUUUUAUUAGUUAGCAAAGUUAUUGGUUUCUUGGCAUUUUUUCUAGUAUCGCAUAAAAUUGAUACUGUACAACAUGAAACCAACAUACUUUUAAAAUUAAUGUCAUUCUAUUGUAGUAACUUAAAAAACUGGAUUUUGCAUAUAAGUGAACGAAAAAACAUUGCCUCAAAAAAAGAGUUUAAGAUAAAAGAUUCAUCAUCAAUGGUGUCACAGACCAUAUACACAUUACCCGCAUUUUUUCCAUUAAUAUUGGUAAUGUACUAUUUUGAUUUUAAGUUUUCAAAGUAUUUAAGACAAUCAGAACAUCUAAGAAAUGAAUUUUUUGAAGGAGAAAGAUUUCAUCAUAAUGCUAUAUUAACUGUACUUCCGGCUAUGAAAAUAUUGUCAUUGCCAUUGUUUAUAUUUAUUAUAAUUCCAAUGUAUGAAAAAUAUAGUAAAAAAGUGUUUACAUCAUUCAAGCAAUAUUUAUGGUCAUGCUUCUUUUUACUGCUGUCGAUAGUAUGUGCCUGCAUAACAGAAUCACAUUUGAAUACAGAUCCUCGAUACCAUCAGCAUACUGCAUUGGUGCAAAUUUUCAACGGAGUGUUGGACACAGUUCUCAUUCAUUUUUCAGGACAUAAUCAGAUUAGUUUAUUUAUUCAACCAAUCAGUGUAGAAAAUAUUGCGUACGAUUACUCUUUACCACCAACACUUUAUUUGCAAACGUACCAUAUGGGACAACAUAAAUCAACUUCAUUGCCUUUAACAAUUAACAAACAUGCGAUAUCUAUAUAUCUCAUAAAAUUGAAACAAUCAAAUGAAAAACAUCUUUUAAUGCUUCAUCUGGACACAGUUUCAUUUGCAAAAAGUGCAAUAUUUAACGAAACAACUCAACUGCCUUCAUUAAGGGUGGUUUAUGAUUUGAAGAGUAAAAAAACAAAAGUUGAAAUAAUUGGCCCAACAAUUAUUUCUUUAACUCUAAAUAAUAAAGAACAUAUAACACAUGUAUUUAUUUUAAAGCCUGGAAGGUAUGUAUUCAAGGUGAAUGAUGAAGAUAGUAUCGUUCCGUCUGUUUUGGAAAUUGGCGGAGUUUAUACAUUUUUAUUGGUCCAGCCAAAAUCUUUUAUACCAGUGGGCGCAUUGUUGACAACACGUGAACCUUUUAGACGUAAAAUUGUAUUUCAAACUCCUCAAUAUGCGAUGCUAGCCAUAGCUGAAAUGAUUAUAGAAAGCCCUUCAUUCAUAUAUUUCAAAGAAAUGGUUAUGCCAAAAUAUUAUGAAAUUUUGUCACUUUUUUGGUGUUUGACAAACUGUUUGAGCCAGAUUUUUUUCAUCUUUACUUUACUUGCAAUUACCUCACAUACAGAUCUCUAUUUGUAUAUUGCUGACAUCAUUAUACUUACAACUUCUACAAUGCUUCUAAUAGUUAUGUAUAAAACAUGUUAUAAACCAAAUACAGACAAGUUCAAAGAACAUGCAAAAAAUGAAGUAAACCGACGAGGCAGAGAAAUGAAGAGACCCAAUUGAGUUUGUAAUAAUUACCACAAGACUUAAUUAUCAUAAUUUGGCAAUAAAAAAUAAAGAAUAUUCCGCAAUGCCAAAAAAGCCUUGGAGACAUAAUGUGCUAGCUGGAAUCAGUAAGUCAACAAUUAUAUUUUUCUUGGAGGAAUGGACUUGCUGUACACGAGCAUUGGAGUUUCAUGAGUUUUUCCAUCAAAAUACAUAUAAAUAUUUGGGCUUAAUUUUCACCAUGUUGAACUAUUACUGAGUUUGUCUUCAUUUGCGGGUUUUCUCGAUUUUAUUGUU